CACAAAUUUACACGUUUUCAUUAAUAAAUGAGGGAAAGGAGCAGAAAAAGGGGGAAACAAAGUUUCAAAUCAUUUUAAUGAUCCUCAAGCCCAUCUCUUGGUAUGUGUAAGGGCAGCAUAAGGAUGCCGUAUAUACAGCCUGUGGUCAGACCAAAGUCGAUAGAGGGACUGUAUGUCCACACGAGCAAAUUCUUGAUGAACCAAGUGCAUUGUUGCAUUGCUAAGACAGCUGAUACUCAAUAUGACAUGGAAAACACUCAAUCUAAUUCUGAUUUAGCCAUGCCAAUAGGCCUUAACUGUGAGCCCAGCGGGAAAUAAAAAAUAAAACUCCCAUAAUUUAGUGAGUAACAAAACAAAUUCCAGCUUCUCUUUUUCACUAGUUUCUUUAUGAAGAAGCAGCCCAGGAGUAGAUGCCCUAAGUAGUAUGUGUGGUGUGGUUUAAAUUUCAGACUUCUAUGUGCCAAAAGCAGUGCCUCAUCCACUCCGGCUCCUGCACAGACACUGCACACACAGCUGAGGCAGAGCUGCAGGAGCCCAGCACCUGCUCCUGGCUCAGGCUGGGGCAGACGGUGGGGGAGGGAGGAUGCUCUGCAGAAUGCACCACUGACACAGUGACAAAACAAUCACCAACGCAUCGCCCCACAAACCUACUGGUAAACUCCCGUUAGUACAUAUUCUCAUCUCUCCCAGAGCUGAAUGAUCCCCAGAGCCUACUUCAGUCUUUCUGAGGCAAAAAGACCACAAAUUUGGCUUAUGCCCAAGCUUGGAAGUCCUUUUCCCCUCUGCAAGUAACCUUGCAUUGAAAACCACAGAUUGUGGGGGGGCGAUUUCAGCCGUGCUCAACUUAACAGCCCCUCAGCACGCUCCCUGCAAAGACCAGCACAGCUCAGGGCAGCACACAGCUACGUUCUCACAGAACAGCCUGCAAGGAAGCACCUCCUGAACACCUCCACAGAGCAGGAAAGGAAAGACUAUGACAAACAGCACUUUAAGAUAAACGAAUUUCAAUCUAGUCGAGGGUUUAAAGCAGAUAUUCCCAGAAAAGAGCGCUGGGGAGAGUCCCAAAUGACGCACCAGCACGGCCUCGAGUUCCGCACGGCCUCAGGCACAGCCGCACCACGCGCACAUCCUCACGCCCCAGCGAGGAGGCACCCGGCCUGCGGAACGGUUUGUAGCAGCGGCCCGCCCCCCGGGCCGAGCUGACCAAUCGCGUUGCAGAGCGGGAAAGGCAGCGCCCGAUGGCUGCGGGAGGGAGGCCUCGAGCCCUCGCACCGCGGAGCUACGCUCGGGUCACUGUUCUUCAAAAGACACGCUUUUCAUUCAGCUGCACAGAAAGAAAAGGAAUUCAGUGGGCCAGAUUCCCUAAGUGGUCAGAUCCAUUCACCACUGCUGCCUGGGGAGGAAUCUCGGUGAAGGGGUAUCGUCAAGAGGAAAACUGAACUUAGAAGGGAAGAGGUCACCAUUUUUGCAGUGGAGGAGGACUGAACCCCACAAAAAGGGAGCCCACAGCACCAACUCCAAGUAGCUGAAUAGUUCCGGGUACGUCCAAACUUCUACUUCACCUGGUAAACACAGCAUGGUGGAUGGAGGCCAAAACUGCACCACAAUGCGCAGGCUAAAUUUGGACUGAACAAGGUCUCCAGGGCCGGAAUAACCAAUUUUUGAGCUCCUGCUGACUUCACAAAGGCAUAUGUACAACUAACCAUUCUGUAAACCAGGAUGCAAGGAGAAAAAGUGGUUGAUAACAAUCUUCUUGCUGGAAUUUCUGCAAAAAUGAAACCAAGGAACGUUUCCUGAAGUAUCACUAAGGCUGUACAUGGACCUAUGAAAGCUAGGAGAUUGAGAGCAGGGGACAUAAACUCCUGGCUGACAAUAAUUCUUUAUCUCAUCCAUUAUGAAAACAAAAAGAAUAAAAACAAACCCCAAAAAUUAGAAUGCCAUGAGCAUAAAACAAACUACCAGUGCAACUUUGCAGAUUAAUUUUGAAUUUCCUUGCUUUCAUUGG